rnacentral:rRNA from 1 species
GUGGGGAAUAUUGGACAAUGGGGGGAACCCUGAUCCAGCCAUGCCGCGUGUGUGAAGAAGGCCUUUUGGUUGUAAAGCACUUUAAGCGAGGAGGAGGCUACCGAGAUUAAUACUCUUGGAUAGUGGACGUUACUCGCAGAAUAAGCACCGGCUAACUCUGUGCCAGCAGCCGCGGUAAUACAGAGGGUGCAAGCGUUAAUCGGAUUUACUGGGCGUAAAGCGCGCGUAGGUGGCCAAUUAAGUCAAAUGUGAAAUCCCAGAGCUUAACUUGGGAAUUGCAUUCGAUACUGGUCGGCUAAAGUAUGGGAGAGGAUGGUAGAAUUCCAGAUGUAGCGGUGAAAUGCGUAGAGAUCUGGAGGAAUACCGAUGGCGAAGGCAGCCAUCUGGCCUAAUACUGACACUGAGGUGCGAAAGCAUGGGGAGCAAACAGGAUUAGAUACCCUGGUAGUCC